rnacentral:rRNA from 1 species
AGAGUUUGAUCCUGGCUCAGGAUGAACGCUAGCGGCAGGCUUAACACAUGCAAGUCGAGGGGUAGAAGAGGCCUGCUUCUUUGAGACCGGCGCACGGGUGCGUAACGCGUAUGCAAUCUACCUUUCACAAAGGGAUAGCCCAGAGAAAUUUGGAUUAAUACCUUAUAGUAAUACGACUUGGCAUCAAGAUGUAUUUAAAGAUUUAUCGGUGAAAGAUGAGCAUGCGUCCCAUUAGCUAGUUGGUAUGGUAACGGCAUACCAAGGCAACGAUGGGUAGGGGUCCUGAGAGGGAGAUCCCCCACACUGGUACUGAGACACGGACCAGACUCCUACGGGAGGCAGCAGUGAGGAAUAUUCCUCAAACGGGCCAAGCCUGAUCCAGCCAUGCCGCGUGCAGGAUGACGGUCCUAUGGAUUGUAAACUGCUUUUAUACAGGAAGAAACACCUCUACGUGUAGAGACUUGACGGUACUGUAAGAAUAAGGAUCGGCUAACUCCGUGCCAGCAGCCGCGGUAAUACGGAGGAUCCAAGCGUAUCCGGAAUCAUUGGGUUUAAAGGGUCCGUAGCCGGUCAGAUAAGUCAGUGGUGAAAGCCCAUCGCUCAACGGUGGAACGGCCAUUGAUACUGUCUGACUUGAAUUAUUAGGAAGUAACUAGAAUAUGUAGUGUAGCGGUGAAAUGCUUAGAGAUUACAUGGAAUACCAAUUGCGAAGGCAGGUUACUACUAAUAUAUUGACGCUGAUGGACGAAAGCGUGGGUAGCGAACAGGAUUAGAUACCCUGGUAGUCCACGCCGUAAACGAUGGAUACUAGCUGUUGGGCGCAAGUUCAGUGGCUAAGCGAAAGUGAUAAGUAUCCCACCUGGGGAGUACGAACGCAAGUUUGAAACUCAAAGGAAUUGACGG